GACGAACGCUGGCGGCGUGCUUAACACAUGCAAGUCGAACGGUGAAGGUGGAGCUUGCUCUGCUGGAUCAGUGGCGAACGGGGGAGUAACACGUGAGCAAUCUGCGCCGAACUCUGGGAUAACCACGGGAAACCGUGGCUAAUACUGGAUAUGUCGAGUGACCGCAUGGUCUGCACGUGGAGAGAUUUUUCGGUUCGGGAUGAGCUCGCGGCAUAUCAGCUGGUUGGUGAGGUAAUCGCUCACCAAGGCGCCGACGGGUAGCCGGCCUGAGAGGUUGACCGGCCACACGGGGACUGAGACACGGCCCAGACUCCUACGUGAGGCAGCAGUGGGGAAUAUUGCACAAUGGGCGCAAGCCUGAUGCAGCAACGCCGCGUGAGGGAUGACGGCCUUCGGGUUGUAAACCUCUUUUAGUAGGGAAGAAGCGAAAGUGACGGUACCCACAGAAGAAGCCCCGGCUAACUUCGUGCCAGCAGCCGCAGUAAUAC
rnacentral:rRNA from 1 species